GUAUUGGACUACCAUGGCUUUUACGGGUAACGGAGGAUUAGGGUUCGAUUCCGGAGAGGGAGCCCGAGGAACGGCUACCACAUCUAAGGAAGGCAGCAGGCGCGUAAAUUACCCAAUCCUGACUCAGGGAGGUAGUGACAAGAAAUAACGGGCCGGGUAUCAUAUCCGGGACUGAAAUGAGAUGAAUUUACACCCCUUAUUGAGGAUCAAUUGGAGGGCAAGUCUGGUGCCAGCAGCCGCGGUAAUUCCAGCUCCAAUAGCGUAUAUUAAAGUUGUUGCAGUUAAAAAGCUCGUAGUUGGAUUUCUGGUUGGGCGUCGAUGCCGGCUCUGAUGCCUGUGCAGAGAUACCCUGCCAUCCUUCUGUUAACCUGCGUUGGCAUUCACUUGCCGGGUAGGGGCUCAGAUAUUUUACCUUGAGAAAAUUAGAGUGUUUCAGGCAGGCUAGCGUCGGAAUACAUUAGCAUGGAAUAAUGGAAUAGGACUUAUACCUCUUCUGUUGGUCUGAGGGGUGCAAGUAAUGAUUAAUAGGGAUAGUUGGGGGCAUUAGUACUUAACUGCUAGAGGUGAAAUUCUCAGAUUUGUUAAAGACUAACUUAUGCGAAAGCAUUUGCCAAGGAUGUUUUCA
rnacentral:rRNA from 1 species